UACGAAGGGGGCUAGCGUUGCUCGGAAUCACUGGGCGUAAAGGGCGCGUAGGCGGCUUCGCAAGUGGAAGGUGAAAUCCCUCGGCUUAACCGAGGAACUGCCCUCCAAACUGCGUUGCUUGAGUUCGGGAGAGGUGAGUGGAACUGCGAGUGUAGAGGUGAAAUUCGUAGAUAUUCGCAAGAACACCAGUGGCGAAGGCGGCUCACUGGCCCGAUACUGACGCUGAGGCACGAAAGCGUGGGGAGCAAACAGG
rnacentral:rRNA from 1 species